AAAUAAAUAAAACAAAUGAAAUAUAAGCAAUGUAAUUUCUCAAGUCCUUUUUGCAGAGCAAAAACGUCCGGGGUUGUUCAAGGUUACAGUUGAUUAUACUGCUGAUUAGUGCUAUUGCUGAUUCUUUUGUUUAUUUCUAUUAGAUAUGCAAUCAACAAUUAAACACGGUUCUUCAAAUUACCAGCCACGGAUUAGGUUAUACGGAUGCGCAACUUCGACAAUUUUUAAAACUCGCCUAUCACGCAAACACCAGAUGGCACUAUAUGCAGUUAACAAAAUGGCGUCUGGAGGAUCGACUUUUUCCGCGUCUUUUUGUAAAAAUUUUAAGAAAAAAAUAUCCACAUCUGUCGUUUUUCG
rnacentral:lncRNA from 1 species